rnacentral:rRNA from 1 species
GAUGAACGCUAGCGAUAGGCUUAACACAUGCAAGUCGAGGGGCAGCACGUAUUCAGCUUGCUGAAUAUGGUGGCGACCGGCGGAUGGGUGCGUAACGCGUAUGCAACUUACCUGUCAGAGGGGGAUAACCCGGAGAAAUUCGGACUAAUACCGCAUAUACUUGAGAUACUGCAUGGUAUUUCAAGGAAAUAUUUAUAGCUGACAGAUAGGCAUGCGUUCCAUUAGCUGGUAGGUGAGGUAACGGCUCACCUAGGCUACGAUGGAUAGGGGAACUGAGAGGUUAAACCCCCACACUGGUACUGAGACACGGACCAGACUCCUACGGGAGGCAGCAGUGAGGAAUAUUGGUCAAUGGGCGAGAGCCUGAACCAGCCAAUUCGCGUGAAGGACGACUGCCCUAUGGGUUGUAAACUUCUUUAGUAGGGGAUUAAAGUUUGCCUUGCGAGGCAAUUUGCAAGUACCCUAAGAAUAAGUAUCGGCUAACUCCGUGCCAGCAGCCGCGGUAAUACGGAGGAUACGAGCGUUAUCCGGAUUUAUUGGGUUUAGGGUGCGUAGGUUGCUUUUUAGUCAGUGGUGAAAAGCUGUGGCUCAACCAUAGUCUUGCCGUUGAAACUGAGGAGCUUGAGUGUAGAUGCUGUAGGCGGAACGCGUAGUGUAGCGGUGAAAUGCAUAGAUAUUACGCAGAACUCCGAUUGCGAAGGCAGCUUACAAAGUUACAACUGACACUGAAGCACGAGAGCGUGGGUAUCAAACAGGAUUAGAUACCCUGGUAGUCCACGCCGUAAACGAUGAUUACUAAGAGUAUGCGAUAUAAUGUAUGUUCUACAGCGAAAGCGUUAAGUAAUCCACCUGGGGAGUACGUCGGCAACGAUGAAACUCAAAGGAAUUGACGGGGGCCCGCACAAGCGGAGGAACAUGUGGUUUAAUUCGAUGAUACGCGAGGAACCUUACCCGGGAUUGAAAUGUGCAUGACGUAAAUUGGAGACGAUUUAUACCCUUCGGGGCAUGUAUGUAGGUGCUGCAUGGUUGUCGUCAGCUCGUGCCGUGAGGUGUCGGCUUAAGUGCCAUAACGAGCGCAACCCACAUUGUCAGUUACUAACAGGUAGAGCUGAGGACUCUGGCGAGACUGCCGGCGUAAGCCGUGAGGAAGGUGUGGAUGACGUCAAAUCAGCACGGCCCUUACAUCCGGGGCGACACACGUGUUACAAUGGUGAGGGCAAAGGGCAGCUACCUGGCGACAGGGUGCGAAUCUCCAAACCUUAUCUCAGUUCGGAUCGGAGUCUGCAACUCGACUCUGUGAAGCUGGAUUCGCUAGUAAUCGCGCAUCAGCCAUGGCGCGGUGAAUACGUUCCCGGGCCU